rnacentral:rRNA from 1 species
GUGACAAGAAAUAACAAUACAGGGCUACUGUCUUGUAAUUGGAAUGAUGGUGACUUAAACCCUCACCAGAGUACCAAUUGGAGGGCAAGUCUGGUGCCAGCAGCCGCGGUAAUUCCAGCUCCAAUAGCGUAUAUUAAACUUGUUGCAGUUAAAAAGCUCGUAGUUGAAUUUCAGCGUUUCGCGUGUGCCUCUUUUGGCCCAUCUCGUCUCGCUUUUUUUAUUACUUUGAGAAAAUUAGAGUGUUUCAAGCAGGCUUUUGUCUUGAAUACUUGAGCAUGGAAUAAUAGAGUAGGACCUUGGUUCUAUUUUGUUGGUUUUGUUACCUUGGUAAUGGUUAAUAGGAACGGUUGGGGGCAUUCGUAUUUAACUGUCAGAG